CCUACGGGGGGCAGCAGUGAGGAAUAUUGGUCAAUGGGCGAGAGCCUGAACCAGCCAAGUCGCGUGAGGGAGUACUGCCCUAUGGGUUGUAAACCUCUUUUGUCGGGGAGCAAAAGCCGGACGUGUCCGGCUGUGAGAGUACCCGAAGAAAAAGCAUCGGCUAACUCCGUGCCAGCAGCCGCGGUAAUACGGAGGAUGCGAGCGUUAUCCGGAUUUAUUGGGUUUAAAGGGUGCGCAGGCGGAUUUUUAAGUCAGCGGUAAAAUCGUGGGGCUCAACCCCAUCCAGCCGAUGAAACUGGGGAUCUAGAGUGUGCGAGAGGUAUGCGGAAUGCGUGGUGUAGCGGUGAAAUGCAUAGAUAGCACGCAGAACCACGAUUGCGAAGGCAGCAUACCGGUGCACAACUGACGCUCAGGCACGAAAGCGUGGGUAUCGAACAGGAUUAGAUACCCCAGUAGUC
rnacentral:rRNA from 1 species